UCGAAGGCAUGAACGUUCGAAGGGAGAGCACUUUCCCCUAAUAAAAUGUGUGACAUAGGGGAAAGUACUCUCCCUUCGAACUUCCAUGUCUUCGA
rnacentral:pre_miRNA from 1 species